UGUUUGAGUAAACGAACGGAUUGGUUGAUGUCGGAGUUGGAUAGGUCGAUGCAGUUGAGGGCAGAGAAUUGUGUGCUCUGUCUUCCCAUGUUUGAAGAGCAAAGAAGGACAGCCUCAAAUUCCUGAAACCACUUUGCACUUUCCAAUGACCACCAAACAAAACUCAAAAUUGCCUUUGCUUAUAUAAGCAAAAUUUGUAGCAGCCAUGCUUUUUUUUUCAAAAAAAAAAUAUUUUUUUUUUCUGUUCAAUUUAUUUUGCUUGUUUGUAAACACAAAUUUCUUGGUUGUGGUUACUCUGGAAUCAUAG
rnacentral:lncRNA from 1 species